rnacentral:rRNA from 1 species
CAGCACCGCGGUAAUACGGAGGGGGCUAGCGUUGUUCGGAAUUACUGGGCGUAAAGCGCACGUAGGCGGCUUGGUAAGUUAGAGGUGAAAGCCCGGAGCUCAACUCCGGAAUUGCCUUUAAGACUGCCGAGCUAGCAGGUGAGAGAGGUAAGUGGAAUUCCGAGUGUAGAGGUGAAAUUCGUAGAUAUUCGGAAGAACACCAGUGGCGAAGGCGGCUUACUGGCUCAUACUGGACGCUGAGGUGCGAAAGCGUGGGGAGCAAACAGGAUUAGAUACCCGUGUAGUCCCUGUCUCUUAUACA